rnacentral:rRNA from 1 species
UACGGGGGGAGCAAGCGUUGUUCGGAUUUACUGGGCGUAAAGGGCGCGUAGGCGGCCACGACAAGUCAGUUGUGAAAUCUCUGGGCUUAACUCAGAACGGUCAACUGAUACUGUCGGGCUAGAGUGCAGAAGGGGCAACUGGAAUUCUCGGUGUAGCGGUGAAAUGCGUAGAUAUCGAGAGGAAUACCGGUGGCGAAGGCGGCAUCCUGGACCGACAUUGACGCUGAGGAGCGAAAGCUAGGGGAGCAAACGGG